rnacentral:rRNA from 1 species
GCUCGCGCUCUGGGAUGGAUCUGCGGCCCAUCAGCAGUUGGUGAGGUAACGGCUCACCAAGGCUACGACGGGUAGCUGGUCUGAGAGGAUGAUCAGCCACACUGGAACUGAGACACGGUCCAGACUCCUACGGGAGGCAGCAUGGGGGAAUCUUGCGCAAUGGGCGAAAGCCUGACGCAGCGACGCCGCGUGGGUGACGAAGGCCUUCGGGUUGUAAAAGCCCCUGUGGGGAGGAACGAACCUCCGGGGGCCAAUACCCUCCGGGCCUGACGGUACCUCUUUAGCAAGCAUCGGCUAACUCUGUGCCAGCAGCCGCGGUAAGACAGAGGAUGCGAACGUUGCUCGGAAUUACUGGGCGUAAAGCGCGCGUAGGUGGCCUUGUAAGUCUCGUGUGAAAGCCCUCUGCUCAACGGAGGAAGUGCACGGGAUACUGCGAGGCUGGAGUACAGAAGAGGACAGCGGAAUUCCCGGUGUAGAGGUGAAAUUCGUAGAUAUCGGGAG